AUUGAACGCUGGCGGCAGGCCUAACACAUGCAAGUCGAACGAGUGGCGGACGGGUGGGUAAGGUCUGGGAAAGUGCCUGAUGGAGGGGGAUAACUACUGGAAAAGGUGGCAAAUACUGCAUAACAUCAGUUGUGCCCAGAUGGGUUUAGCUUGUUGGUGGGGUAACGGCUCACCAAGGCGACGAUCCCUAGCUGGUCUGAGAGGCUGACCAGCCACACUGGAACUGAGACAAGGUCCAGACUCCUACGGGAGGCAGCAGUAGGGAAUAUUGCACAAUGGGCGCAAGCCUGAUGCAGCCAUGCCGCGUGUAUGAAGAAGGCCUUCGGGUUGUAAAGUACUUUCAGCGGGGAGGCGUUACCCACAGAAGAAGCAACGACUAACUCCGUGCCAGCAGCCGCGGUAAUAC
rnacentral:rRNA from 1 species